rnacentral:lncRNA from 1 species
ACUAGUUAUAUGUGAAUUGCUUCAGCUUAAUCUGAAUAAUAGCUGUUUUUAGCUUUUUGAAUGAUUUAUUUUAAUUCGAAACAGAGCUAUUAACCUAAAUCUGUAUUAUGCAUUAUUAUGAAAACCAAAUUCAAAAAUUCAAUAGUUAUAGAGUUGAAUUCUUCAACAACAACAACAACAAAAAUAUGAACAACAUUUUGAGUUAGCAUAUACUAAUGCAACAUUACAGAUUGUCCCACAAGAAAAAGGAUGGUGAAAUGUAAUAAAGCAGGUAAAGUUUGGUUAUAUAUAUGCAGUACAAGAGCUAGCUCUCCUUUGCUAGCAAUGGCUUAUAAUCUAUGAAUUUGG